rnacentral:rRNA from 1 species
UGAGGAAUAUUGGUCAAUGGGCGAGAGCCUGAACCAGCCAAGUAGCGUGCAGGAUGACGGCCCUAUGGGUUGUAAACUGCUUUUAUGUGGGGAUAAAGUGCGUGACGUGUCAUGCAUUGCAGGUACCACAUGAAUAAGGACCGGCUAAUUCCGUGCCAGCAGCCGCGGUAAUACGGAAGGUCCGGGCGUUAUCCGGAUUUAUUGGGUUUAAAGGGAGCGUAGGCUGUCUAUUAAGCGUGUUGUGAAAUUUACCGGCUCAACCGGUGGCUUGCAGCGCGAACUGGUCGACUUGAGUAUGCAGGAAGUAGGCGGAAUUCAUGGUGUAGCGGUGAAAUGCUUAGAUAUCAUGACGAACUCCGAUUGCGCAGGCAGUUUACUGUAGCAUAACUGACGCUGAUGCUCGAAAGUGCGGGUAUCAAACAGG